rnacentral:rRNA from 1 species
CGCAGCGACGCCGCGUGAGUGAUGAAGGCCUUCGGGUCGUAAAGCUCUGUCGUAUGGGACUAACAAAAUGAAGGUACCAUGCAAGAAAGGAUCGGCUAACUUCGUGCCAGCAGCCGCGGUAAGACGAGGGAUCCUAGCGUUGUUCGGAAUUAUUGGGCGUAAAGCGGGUGUAGGCGGACUUAUAAGUCAGGUGUGAAAUCCCAGGGCUCAACCCUGGAAGUGCACUUGAUACUGCAAGUCUUGAGUGUGGUAGAGGCUAUUAGAAUUCCUGGUGUAGUGGUGAAAUACGUAGAUAUCAGGAGGAAUACCGGAGGCGAAGGCGGAUAGCUGGGCCAACACUGACGCUGAGAUCCGAAAGCGUGGGGAUCAAACAGGAUUAGAUACCCUGGUAGUCCACGCUGUAAACGAUGGAUACUUGUUGUUAGAGGUAUUGACCCCUCUAGUGACGUAGCUAACGCGUUAA